AGUAACUUCCCUCCUUUCCUUUUCAUUCACUGGCUGACUUUUCUCUUUUUUUCAUAUAUUGUGGUCUUUGGGCUGGAUUGCCACAAUACUUUGCGGUUAUUAUUGCUUUUUAUAGGUUAUCUGAAUUGUUUUCGUUACUUUUCCAUUUUUUUGGGGUGUGGUCUUCAGUUUUUGCACCAGUUGUGUCAUGAUAUCAUUAGAUAUGGUGUUUGCUAUGGGGAAACAGCCAUUUUUCGCCUACAAAUAUCAGCUUUUCUUCUUGGUAUACCCGUUCCUAUGUGGUCGAGUUCUUAUGACACUGCAUUUUUAUCAUUCUUUCUUUGCCUCCUAUGAUUGGACGGUGAUGGUUUUUUCUGGGUCUAGACUAUGUUUCUCAUGUGUGCAGUGCUGCAAUGUGAUCAGUGCAUCUCCAUUCUUUUCUUUUCUGUCCUUUUUCCUCUGCUUUCCAUUCUAUUUGUUUCCUAGCAUGUUCAUUUUGCUCUUUUCAGGGGCUGUUAAUUUUUUUAUACAUUCUCUCUUCAUCGUAUUGCAGGCUUGCUGUGCAGUGCUGGCUACUUUCCCAGUGCUGCUUCACUGAUUUAACAUGUUUGUGUUUCAAUCAAUUGGUUCUUUGACAAAUAGUUUAUGGUUGUGACACAGGAGUGCUGAAUUUUCAUCUCUUUACUGGAUGUUAAAAUAAUCUUAUCCUAGGUGGUUUUCAAGUUCAGAAUGUAAUCUUUAUAUAUUGUCCAACGAUGCAUGCAUUGGAGUUUUCUAAGUAAAGUUAUGUGUGUUUUAGUUUUUAAGCUUUCUAAGUGCUUGUUUGUGUUUCUAAUGAGCCAAAAACAUGUGAUAAUUAUUAUUUGUCUAGUUUUUUAUCACAGUUUUAAUUAUGUCAUCUUGGUGUUUUCCUAGACUUGAAGGGUUGUUCCAGGUAUAUAAAGUUGAAUCAGAUAAUGUAUUUGGAUUUUUUAGCAAAAUCUGAAUUGAGAGUCUUUUGACUUGGCCUUUUGCACAAUAUCAAGUUUUGUAUUUCCUUUGUGAGUGGUGGAUUUAUUCCUUGACUCUAUAUCUCUAAAGUGGUGGUUUGAUCUUGUUCUUUAAGUGGUGAGUUUGUUAUUCGUUUCUAUAUCUUUUUUGUUUUGUAUCUUAGAGUAGUGAACGAAAAUUAUCAUUUGUGUGAGUGACCUGCAAUUUUAUGAUUUUCAUACCUUCACGGUAUCUGGUUGUGUCAUCUAAUCAUUUUCAUACGUCUCUGCUGUGGUUGGGUGCCAACUUGAGUUUCAUGGUGUGUUUGGUCAUCACAGAUGAUUGUUUCGAUCUUUUGUGUGUUGUAUAGGCUGGCUUGCCAAUUUUUUAGUUCUUGCUUCGCUAUUUUUCGUUUCCAGCUGCUCUGUUGUGAAAUGCAAAGCUUUUUUGGGCAUGGGCAUUUAUUUUCUCAUGAUGAGUUUGGAUUAGUCUGCACCAACAUGCACUAAUCAUGGAUCUUUGCUUAUGAUUUUUACCGGGUAGGCUCAGCAGAGAACAGUUGAUAAUUUUAUCAAGAAGGAUAGAAAAUGAAAAUCCUCACUGACAAGAACGGUGAUGCACUGAAUAGCUAUACUAGAAACAAGCUACAUCAAGGCCCAGGUGUGCGUGCAGGCUGUGGGAAAACAAGAAUCACUCUGCAGCAACGAUUUUCCCAGCUUUGAUGGUGUUCUUGUGGAUGCUGAGGGUGAUGCACAUAACCAUGGAUGUGAAGGGCAGUGAGUGAGUUUUUCGGAAGCUUUGUAAGAGGGUACAGUCUGAGAUCUCAGUCUUCUAGCAUUGUCGCUGCCUAACAACUUCGUCCUGUGUGAUGGAAGAAGAGAGCAAUCUCCAUAGAAAGGAGCUUGGGAAGAUGGGCCCACAACCCCUUACUAUACAGGCACUUCAAUCUUUUUAAUCAAGUCUUUUGUGUUUCUUUGGCAUUAGCAAUUUUGAAUCACAAAGCAUUAAUGAAGGACGCAAGUUAAGCCAUAAA